UGGCUCCCAAUGGUCCCCAUCUUUUGGGAUCCAUGACCUUGACAGCCCCUCUCCACCCUGAAUAGGGCUAAUCUAGUUACCACUCAAACACUGCAGGAAUGAUGCUGUAUGACUUCUGAGGACAGGUCAUAAAGGACUUUGUGGCUUCAGCCUUAUUCUCUCGGACCAUGCACUCUGGGGGAAGCUGGCUGCCAUGUUUGAAAGCACUCGGGCAGCCCCAGGAAGGGGUCCGCGUGGUGGAAAACUGAAACCAGCAUGUGACUGCAGCCCCAGCCGACACGUAGAUUGGGGCCUUCUUAUGAAGGACCUUGAACCAAAGGCACCCAGAUGAGCUGCUCCCACGUUCCUGACCCACAAAAACUGUAUCCGAGAAUCCCAACGAAUCCCAAGCAGGAUAAACGUAAAGACAGUUUCACGGUGGCACAUGAGAAGAAGCCAACUGGUGAUGAGGAGAAAGUCUUAAAAGCAUCUAGAGAAGAAGACACAUGGUAUAUGGGGGAACAAAGUUAAGAACAACAUUUUUCAUUAUGAUCCAGUAUAUAGUACAUCUUGAUGAAAAUGUAAAAGUGUGUAUUCUGCCUUUGGGGGUGUAGACUUCAAUAAAUAGCACUUCAGUCAA